rnacentral:rRNA from 1 species
UACGAACGCUGGCGGCGUGCUUAACACAUGCAAGUCGAGCGAGAAAGCGGCUUCGGCCGUGAGUACAGCGGCGAACGGGUGAGUAACACGUGGGCAACCUGCCCCAGAGAUUGGGAUAACGUCCCGAAAGGGACGCUAAUACCGAAUAACGCGUGACCUGCCAAGUGGGUCACGCCAAAUGGUAGCCUCGGCCUCUGCUCUGGGAUGGGCCCGCGCCGGAUUAGCUUGUUGGUGGGGUAACGGCCUACCAAGGCGACGAUCCGUAGCUGGUCUGAGAGGACGAGCAGCCACACUGGGACUGAGACACGGCCCAGACUCCUACGGGAGGCAGCAGUGGGGAAUCUUGCGCAAUGGGCGAAAGCCUGACGCAGCAACGCCGCGUGAGCGAAGACGGCCUUCGGGUUGUGAAGCUCUGUCAGGAGGGACGAAGCCACUCGGGUGAGUAGCCCAGAGGGUGACGGUACCUCCAGAGGAAGCCCCGGCUAACUACGUGCCAGCAGCCGCCGUAA